GAUGAACGCUGGCGGCGUGCCUAAUACAUGCAAGUCGAGCGAAGCGGGGACGGGUGAGUAACACGUGGAUAACCUCCUAUAAGGCUGGGAUAACUUCGGGAAACCGGAGCUAAACCGGAUACUUAUACAUGGAUCCUCGCUGCAUUAGCGAGUUGGUAAGUUAACGGCUUACCAAGGCAACGAUGCAUCGCCGACCUGAGAGCGUGAUCGGCAACAAUGGAACGGAGAGAUGGUCCAGACUCCUACGGGAGGCAGCAGUGGGGAAUCGUGCGCAAUGGGCGAAAGCCUGACGGAGCAACGCCGGGUGAGUGAUGAAGGUCUUCGGAUCGUAAAACUCUUUUAUUAGGGAGGCGGUACCUAAUCAGAAAGCCACGGCUAACUACGUGCCAGCAGCCGCGGUAAUAC
rnacentral:rRNA from 1 species